rnacentral:ncRNA from 11 species
UACUUGGCCGAGUGGUUAAGGCGGCAGACUUGAAAUCUUCUGGGAUUUUCCUUCAUAGGUUCGAAUCCUAUAGUAUG